rnacentral:lncRNA from 1 species
AUGCAAAUAGUACGGUAUUCCGAACAGACACUAAAAAUAGCUGUCAUCUCAAAGAAUCCAGUGCUUGUGUCACAGUAUGAGAAAGUAGAUGCUGGGGAACAGCGUUUAAUGAAUGAAGCAUUCCAGCCAGCCAGUGAUCUCUUUGGACCUUGCAUUCUCCAUCAGAUUGGAUCACCUCCCACCCUGAGGCCCCCCAAGACUUUGAACAGUUCUUCAGUCAUCCUUACAGAAAGAUACCCUCUCCAGACAAACGCAGUAUUUAUAUACGGUCCAUUGGAUCUCUAUGAAGCACCAGAAUUAUCAGUGAAGAAUAUAUUAAAUGGCUCACGGGCUACUGUAAAGCAUAUUUCUAUCGCUUGAGAGUAAAACUGCUAGAACCAGUUCCUGUUUCUACAACAAGGUGUUCCUUUAGAGUCAAUGAGAACACACAAAACCUACAAAUUCAUGCAGGGGACAUCCUGAAGUUCUUGAAAAAGAAGAAACCUGAAGAUGCCUUCUGUGUUGUGGGAAUAACAAUGAUUGAUCUUUACCCAAGAGACUUGUGGAAUUUUGUCUUUGGACAGGCCUCUUUGACAGAUGGGCUUCUUCCACUUGGAAGAAGCUGACCGGCGCCCUCUAAACCUUUGCCCUAUCUGUUUGCACAAGUUGCAGUGUGCUGUUAUUGGCUUCAGCAUUGUAGAAAGAUAUAAAGCACUGGUGAGGUGGAUUGAUGAUGAAUCUUCUGGCACACCUGGAGCAACUCCAGAACACAGUCGUGAGGAUAAUGGGAAUUUACUGAAACCCGUGGAAGGAAGCCUUUAAGGAAUGGAAAGAGUGGAUAAUAAAAUGCCUGACUGUUCUCCAAAAAUAA